UAGCUGGUCUGAGAGGAUGACCAGCCACACUGGGACUGAGACACGGCCCCAGACUCCUACGGGAGGCAGCAGUGGGGAAUAUUGGACAAUGGGCGAAAGCCUGAUCCAGCCAUGCCGCGUGAGUGAUGAAGGUCUUCGGAUCGUAAAGCUCUGUGGGAAGGGACGAAAAAGCCUAACCUAAUACGUUAGGUCUUGACGGUACCUUCUUAGCAAGCACCGGCUAACUCCGUGCCAGCAGCCGCGGUAAUACGGAGGGUGCAAACGUUGCUCGGAAUUAUUGGGCGUAAAGCGCACGUAGGCGGUCCGCUAAGUCGGAUGUGAAAGCCCUCGGCUUAACCGAGGAAGUGCAUCCGAAACUGACGGGCUAGAGUACGGAAGAGGGUUUCGGAAUUCCCGGUGUAGAGGUGAAAUUCGUAGAUAUCGGGAGGAACACCAGUGGCGAAGGCGGAAACCUGGGCCGAUACUGACGCUGAGGUGCGAAAGCGUGGGGAGCGAAACAGGAUUAGAUACCCUGGUAGUCCACGCCGU
rnacentral:rRNA from 1 species